CGCCUUAUACUCCUACGGGAGGCAGCAGUGGGGAAUUUUGGACAAUGGGGGCAACCCUGAUCCAGCCAUGCCGCGUGUGUGAAGAAGGUCUUCGGAUUGUAAAGCACUUUAAGUUGGGAGGAAGGGUUGUAGAUUAAUACUCUGCAAUUUUGACGUUACCGACAGAAUAAGCACCGGCUAACUCUGUGCCAGCAGCCGCGGUAAUACAGAGGGUGCAAGCGUUAAUCGGAAUUACUGGGCGAAAAGCGCGCGUAGGUGGUUUGUUAAGUUGGAUGUGAAAUCCCCGGGCUCAACCUGGGAACUGCAUUCAAAACUGACUGACUAGAGUAUGGUAGAGGGUGGUGGAAUUUCCUGUGUAGCGGUGAAAUGCGUAGAUAUAGGAAGGAACACCAGUGGCGAAGGCGACCACCUGGACUAAUACUGACACUGAGGUGCGAAAGCGUGGGGAGCAAACAGGAUUAGAUACCCUUGUAGUCCACGUACCA
rnacentral:rRNA from 1 species